rnacentral:lncRNA from 1 species
UGGAAAUCAGUCAGUUUUGCUAUCCCGUUCUCUAGCCUGAUGCUGCUGUGUUUGGGUUGCAAGGGGCACGUUGAUGUUCUCUCUCUCUCUCUCUCUCUGUCUGUCCAGAACGUCCAUUUAGAGUGACAUUCGUUGGAAAUAAAUGAAGUUAUGAUGAGACGCCAUGUCCUCGGUGGGUGUAAAUCAGCAGUGUGGUGGAGCUGUCCAUUUAUGCCAGGUGGAUUGUUCCGAGACUUGGUGCCAGAGGAGGAGAGGAACGUCAGACGAGUCGCC